AUGCGUGGUGGCACUCUUGUGCCCACGACAGAAGUUGCCGAGGCGACAGUUCAUAAUGAUAUGCCAUCUGCAGGUGAGAGUCUUGGCACAACAGCUCCAGCUCCUGGCGGUGCAGAUAUUGCUCAGGCCACUGUUCCGCAUGCUGGUCUUCCACCUAGGCGUCGUAGCCCCCGCAAGCAAUCAACAGUCAUAUCCAAUGCACCAGCUGCAGCUAGGAGCAGCAGAGAUGAGUCUGGUUACGUCCCUGCGUCCACACUAUUCCCACCAACUGCCAAAAGCAAUGUUAUGGAGAAACCAGAAGACCAGAGUACAACUAAUGCAGGUGCCAAGCCGGGCACGAGUGAUGAAGGUGAACGUCCGGAGCAGACUGCGCCUUUACCCGCAGUGGAAAUUCCCAGCUUAAAUCUGCGCACUUCCAAACUCCCAAUCAACAUCGGUGUCCCCUACAGCCCCAACAAGAGGAUUGUCAACAAAUCUACGCCCGUCACCACUGACAGCACGCCCCGCCCUAUUGGCAAGCCUGAUGAUUCUGCAGCGGCUGAUCCGGAAGAUAUGUUUGUUGAUCUUUCACCGUUGGAUUCUGCCCCGCAAGUUGUUCGCAGUCCGGCCAGUAGGCAUGAGAGGCACCCAAUGGCCUUCACCCCACCGAGCUUCAGCCUUGGCGUCAGUCAAGAUCAACCAGUGGCUCAAGAUCCUAUGUCAGUUGCCUUUGCUUUUCCGGGAGGCAUGCCCGCAAUGAUGACGCAGCCAAUGGUUGAGGGCAGGAAGGCUGUCAAGUUCGCAGAGCCGAUCGUCCAAGGUAUCCUAAACCACAUUUUGAUCCUUGCAGGCACCCCUGAGGAGAUUUCGCCGUCUCUUGAUGAAGCUUACCGUAGGAUUGAGGAGGCAGCAUUGCAGAGGAGGUCCUCACGAGGUCAUGGGCAAUCAAGUUCCAGUGUGCCUGCAGAUACGGUAUCUGAGGAUACCAUUAGGAGUACCACCCCUGGUUCUGUGAGGCAGCAGAGGGUAGUUCACCCACCCCCCGUGGAAGACUACGAGCCUGAAGUUAGGGCCACAAAGGAACAGACCCAACUGUAUGAUAUCGUCAUGCGAUUUGGUAAUGUGAGGGCCAGCAGCAAGCACAUGAAGGAGAUGAAAGCGUAA
rnacentral:rRNA from 1 species